rnacentral:rRNA from 1 species
GCAAAUUACCCACUCCCGGCACGGGGAGGUAGUGACAAAAAUAACGAUACGGGACUCAUCCGAGGCCCCGUAAUCGGAAUGAGCACACUUUAAAUCCUUUAACGAGUAUCCAUUGGAGGGCAAGUCUGGUGCCAGCAGCCGCGGUAAUUCCAGCUCCAAUAGCGUAUAUUAAAGUUGUUGCGGUUAAAAAGCUCGUAGUCGGACUUGUGUCACACGCUGCCGGUUCACCGCCCGUCGGUGUUUAACUGGCAUGCACGUGCUGACGUCCUGCCGGUGGCCCGAGCCGGGCCGGGAGCUCUGGGCGCGGGUUCCCUUUAGGGUCCCCGCCUCGAACCCGGUCUCUGGGGAAGGCCUACUCAUACCCCUCGUGGUGCUCUUAACCGGGUGUUUCGAUGGGCCGGCACGUUUACUUUGAACAAAUUAGAGUGCUUAAAGCAGGCAGCAUCCGCCUGAAUACUGAGUGCAUGGAAUAAUGGAAUAGGACCUCGGUUCUAUUUUGUUGGUUUUCGGAAUCCCCGAGGUAAUGAUCAAUAGGGACAGACGGGGGCAUUCGUAUUGCGACGUUAGAGGUGAAAUUCUUGGAUCGUCGCAAGACGGACCGAAGCGAAAGCAUUUGCCAAGAAUGUUUUCUCUGAUCAAGAACGAAAGUUAGAGGUUCGAAGGCGAUCAGAUACCGCCCUAGUUCUAACCAUAAACGAUGCCAGCCAGCAAUCCGCCGAAGUUCCUCCGAUGACUCGGCGGGCGGCUUCCGGGAAACCAAAGCUUUUGGGUUCCGGGGGAAGUAUGGUUGCAAAGCUGAAACUUAAAGGAAUUGACGGAAGGGCACCACCAGGAGUGGAGCCUGCGGCUUAAUUUGACUCAACACGGGAAACCUCACCAGGCCCGGACACCGGGAGGAUUGACAGAUUGAGAGCUCUUUCUUGAUUCGGUGGGUGGUGGUGCAUGGCCGUUCUUAGUUGGU